rnacentral:rRNA from 1 species
CCUACGGGGGGCAGCAGCUAAGAAUAUUCCGCAAUGGACGAAAGUCUGACGGAGCGACGCCGCGUGGAUGAGGAAGGCCGAAAGGUUGUAAAGUCCUUUUGUCGAUGAAGAAUAAGUGUGGGAGGGAAUGCCCGCAUGAUGACGUUAGUCGGCGAAUAAGCCCCGGCUAAUUACGUGCCAGCAGCCGCGGUAACACGUAAGGGGCGAGCGUUGUUCGGAAUUAUUGGGCGUAAAGGGUACGUAGGCGGUUGAGUAAGCCCGGCGUGAAAUCCUGCAGCUUAACUGUAGAGCUGCGCUGGGAACUGCUGAACUUGAGUCAUGGAAGGGAAGUUAGAAUUCCAGGUGUAGGGGUGAAAUCUGUAGAUAUCUGGAAGAAUACCGGUGGCGAAGGCGAACUUCUGGCCAAUGACUGACGCUGAGGUACGAAAGUGCGGGGAGCAAACAGGAUUAGAUACCCUGGUAGUCC